AGAACUCUGAAGGUGUCCUGUAGCACCAAGAUGUUGACAGCAGAUCCUUUAAGUCCUGUAAGUUGUGAGGUAGGGUCUUCAUGGAUCAGACUUGGUUUUCUUGCACAUCUCACAGAUACUUGAUCAAAUUGAGAUUUGAGAAUUUGAAGGACAAGUCAACACAUUGAACAAUUUCUGCAGUGUAACAGGACACAUUACCUGCUGAAAGAGGUCACUACCACCAGCAUCCUGCUGUCCACAUGAUCUAAAGGAAAACUUGAUUCAUCAGACACCUCCUUCCAUUGCCCCAUGGCCCAGUUCUGAUGCUUAUGUGCCCAUUGUAGGUAUUUUCAGCAGUGGGCAGGGGUGGGGUCAGCAUGGGCACUCUGCCUGAUCUUCAGCUACAUAUAUAAAUAACUGUGUGUUUUAAAACCUUUCUCUCAUAGCCACCAUUAAGUUUUUAAGCAAAUUGUGCUACAGGAGCUCUUCUGUGAGAACACACAUGUGCCUCAGUGGGCCUUGGACCACUUUUGGUAGGUAUUAACCCCUGCAUGCCAAGAACACUCCAGAAGACCUGCCAUUUUGGAGUUUCACGGUUCUAGUGGCCUGCACAAUUUGGCCCUUGUCAGAGUCUCUCAGAUCAUUAUGCUUACCCAUUUUAUCUGCUUCAAACAGAUCACCUUCAAGAACCAACUGUUCACUUGCCACCUAAUAUAUCCCACCCCUUGACAGGUGCCAUUGUAACCAGGUAAUCCAUAUUAUUAACUUCACCUUUCAGUAUUCCUAACGUUGCGGCUGAUCAGUGUAUAAGACAGGUGUACCAUGUUUUUGGAUUAAAUAAUCAACCCUAUGCAGGCUAGUUGGCAUGAAAAUCAUUUUACGAAUUAUUCAACUUUACUUUGCAUUUCUUCUACGAUGAUUGUGUUUUUGACCUCUCACUAACAAUUUCUGCUGUGAGCUUUGCUUUCUCAUAUCCUGUUUUAUUCUGUUAAAUGGAGAGAAAGUCCAUGUUCUGCAUGUAUAUAAAAUAACCAAGCUACAUGACAUGUGCUGAUGACAUCACAGAUGCAAUGGUAUUUAUACACAAUGUCCUCAGUAUGCUUCAGUCCUUAGUGGAUUCGCGUCAAAGAAAUCAAUCAUCUUCAGCUUCUAGAUUUCAUGUUUCAGCUUUGUUGUGCUCCCUGACUUUUAUUUCCUUUUCUGCAUUGACUUUGCUUAUUGUAAUAUAUUAUUUUUCACAUAUGUAUGACAUUUAUAUAUGGUUUGUUAAUAUUAUUCUGUUAAUAUAUUUACUAUCUAUGUAUUAUGUGUUCUGCUUUGCUCCUUGUGUUUUGUGGGUAGAACCCCAAAAGGUGAAACCAACCUGACAUCACAACUGAAGGUCCGCCCUGAGCCUGUGUAUUGUGAGAUGUUUCAGUGGUUCAGUGACAUUCACAGAGGGCAUGAUCCUCGAAGGAAUAUUCAGAAUGGUGGAUCGCUGUCAGCCACAGGAUUUAUUGCAAAACUGAUGAAGGCAUGGUCCAGUUGCUACAGACAGCCCAUCAUGGAGAAGGACAACCCUUGCGGGAAAGGCUGCUUCGCCCAAUGGCGCUCAGCUGUGGGAAGGGCAAUGUAAGGGAAGGCCGACAGUUUAUACAAGCAAUAGAAGGAUGCCUCCCUCAAGACGAUAGAUGGCAGCUUCCCUGGACUGCAGGGCACUAUGGGACUUGGAGUUCAGCAGCAAAGCUUUGCUGGGUACCAUGGGUACCACCAGGGGAUGCUGUGGGAAGUUGGUGGGAAAACAAAUUCUCACCUAGCCCGGAAGUACUAAUGAACUAUGACAACAGAAUCCCCGAUGUACUUCCGGGCCGAUUGAAAACCUGAAUUCUCCAGGUGAACCGGAAGUGCUAGUCAGUCAAGUGGGAAGAAGAACCGAAGCACUUCCAGACCAAGGACUAUAUAAAGGACUGAUGGGAACCCAGAAAGAGAGCCGGAGUUGGGAGGGAGUGUGACAGAGCUGCUGGGAGGAGAGGAGGAGAAUUGUUGUGUUUAGUCAUUGUGUGCUUAUUGUGGCUGUGGUGCUUUGGAGGUACUAUUAAAGAAGAAAAUUAAAAUAUUUCUUAGUGCUUUUAAAUCUGUGUCUGCAUCUGUCUGUUGGGUUUCACAGGGCAACAGCACCCUCAAGCAUCCAUUCUCUUACAUUGGCGUAGCUGGCAGGAUUCUGGUCGUCAGUUGUGGUCAAAAGCCUUUUAAAAAUAACGUGGACGCAAACCCAAUAGACUGUGCUGUGACACAAAGGACCCUCAAAGAAAACUACCCUUGUUACGAAUGUUAUGGCUAAAAAGAAAGUCAAGCAGAUGGCCAAAUUCCGCCCUCGUGAUCAACACCGUCGGAAAGGAAACGGCAAGCGGUUACAAUAAACUGGCAGAGAAAACUCCGGAUGACGGCAUCAUGGAGGAGGUAUGCCUGGGAAACAAUGGAAAAGUUUUUUAAUGUAAUUAACUUUGUCCUGUGCUCAUAUCACCUAGAAGAGGGUCAUCUGGAGGUUUGGCGUGGAGCCGUCCAUUUUCCCAAGGACAAAAGUAGCCGAAUCGAUAGACGCCCAAGUGCGGAAAAAUCCAGUGUUUUGUUUCCCCGGUGAGGACCAUGUGACCUAACCCAAAGGAAUUUGGGAAGGAGAAGGUCCACGACAGGCCGUGUACUACUUGUCUCAUUACCCAACGGACUCGGACUCCCAGAAGGGGAAGGGGAAGGCGCGCAAAGCACUGCUCACCACUUCUAAAGAAUGUGAACGCUGUAAAUUUUGAAAAAUGGCCCGCCGACAAAUCUCAUGAUGACAUUGUUCGUGUGUGACUUGAUGGAACCACUGUUUGGAUCUGGAAGAGGUGUGACUACGGACAGUGUUUUUACGUCCGUGCCAACUGCGGAAUUUUUGCUGCAGAAGAACAUUACCAUGACAGGAACAUUGAGAGCAAAAAAGCUUGACAUUCCUGCAAUGAUGGAAACUGCAAAAGGUAGAGACAUUUGUAACAGAUAGAUGGCACUAUCGUCCUCUUGAACCCUCAGACUAUACGCCAGACACCAGGUAAAAGUCCAAUAGUUGACUUUAUUAUUA